AUCCCAUCCCGAACUCAGUAGUGAAACGCAAUCGCGCCGAUGAUAGUGUGGGGUCUCCCCAUGUGAAAGUAGGUCAUUGCCAAGC
rnacentral:rRNA from 1 species